rnacentral:rRNA from 1 species
AACGAACGCUGGCGGCAGGCUUAACACAUGCAAGUCGAGCGCCCCGCAAGGGGAGCGGCAGACGGGUGAGUAACGCGUGGGAAUCUACCCAUCUCUACGGAAUAACGCAUGGAAACGUGUGCUAAUACCGUAUACGUCCUUCGGGAGAAAGAUUUACCGGAGAUGGAUGAGCCCGCGUUGGAUUAGCUAGUUGGUGGGGUAAAGGCCUACCAAGGCGACGAUCCAUAGCUGGUCUGAGAGGAUGAUCAGCCACACUGGGACUGAGACACGGCCCAGACUCCUACGGGAGGCAGCAGUGGGGAAUAUUGGACAAUGGGCGCAAGCCUGAUCCAGCCAUGCCGCUUGAGUGAUGAAGGCCCUAGGGUUGUAAAGCUCUUUCACCGGUGAAGAUAAUGACGGUAACCGGAGAAGAAGCCCCGGCUAACUUCGUGCCAGCCGCCGCGGUAAGAC